AUAGAUCAGAUAAAACCCCGUCUGUCCCUCCAAGACCAUGGGUCCUCUGAUGUCCUAAUCGUCAGAAGAAAGAAAUCCGCUACAAAUUGCCGUGACAUGGCUACACAGACAGAUGUACGAAGCUAUACACAGGCCUUGAAACUAGGGAGUGUGAAAAGUCUACAGGAAAUGAAGAUAUCAACUGGGCCAGAAGUGGACAUAAGGAGCAAAAAUCUGGGAUGCAUUUUACAUGUAGAGGUCACCAAGUUUUGAGAAUCAAAAUCAGAAAACAGUAUGUUUUGAAAGAAUUUAUAUCUCGUCUGGACAAUGAUCACUCCACCCACCUCAUCAUGUGGCUUAACAGUAAAAAAACAUAGACAAGCUAACACCAAAGUGGCUUCUUUGCCUUUAGAUUGCCUAUAGAUUACACGAUAUUCUGGAUUCUUUUUAUGGACUUUGUUCACCCUCUUUUACGGCCUAUAACACUGGAACAUGGGUUUGUGUUCUUUAAUUUUUAUGCAAAUGCAAAAAAAUAUAAGUUUAUAAAGAACGUUAGCUUUAUCUAUAAUGGGUAUUUCAGUACAUAUAAAGAACGUUAGCUUUAUCUAUAAUGGGUAUUUCGGUAUAAAGAACGUUAGCUUUAUCUAUAAUGGGUAUUUCAGUACAUUAUAAAGAAUGUUAGCUUUAUCUAUAAUGGGUAUUUCAGUACAUUAUAAAGAAUGUUAGCUUUAUCUAUAAUGGUUAUUUAUAAAGAACGUUAGCUUUAUCUAUAAUGGGUAUUUAUAAAGAACGUUAGCUUUAUCUAUAAUGGGUAUUUAUAAAGAACGUUAGCUUUAUCUAUAAUGGGUAUUUAUAAAGAACGUUAGCUUUAUCUAUAAUGGGUAUUUAUAAAGAACGUUAGCUUUAUCUAUAAUGGGUAUUUAUAAAGAACGUUAGCUUUAUCUAUAAUGGGUAUUUCAGUACAUUAGACACACUCUCAAGUGUUUGUGCGCUUAACGCAAAUCUAACUAAAUCAAACCUGUAGCUUAACCUGUAAUGGUGGUAUUAGUAAUAAAUUAAGACUUCUAAACUGGUAUUUACCAUACAUGACAUGAAAUAGCGCUCUAUGACAGGGUUUUCGGUUAAGUUUAACAGGCUUAAUUAAGAAAACCCUCAUGUUAAUAGGUAUAAAAGUGAUAUUAACAAUAUUGAAAAUUGUUUAUGAGACAUUUAUCAAGUGCUAAACAACAAAAUCAGUUUGGUCAUUUUCUGAUAUAAAUAAGCAUUCUAUGCACGGGAUUGUGGUCAGGCUACUUAAUAAAACUACCAGUAUGAGCCGCACCUUCAGGUACCAAAGUCCUGAAGUUACCGAGUGUAUUGGUGAUAUCAGUAAUAAACAACUCUUCUAUGAUGGCAUUUAUCAAUACAUGUUUAUUAAAAUAGUAACAUAAAAUUCUCUCACUUGUUUCUGACACAAAAAUGUAUAGAUAAAAUUUUAUACUACUUCUGAUACAGACAUGUGAAUACGACCUUUUUUCACUCAAAACUUACAAUACCUUUGGGUUAUUACAAUUAGUGUCUUUACAUCUUUAAACUGGAUAAUAGAGUAAUCUAUUGUAUCAAAUACUUAAUAGUAAAUCAUGCACAAAUAUAUUUUUUUUAAAUGUAUGUCUUAUUGAUUAUGUCAUCCAAACACAGCUUCUACUUAUAUGAGAAAUGAUUAUGUACUGAAAAUGUACUUAUAUAGAAUAUUAAGUGAGUUUGGUAUAAAGAUCAAGUUUAUCAUGCAAGGCUUAAAACCAGGGGAGCGUGAGGGUUGCCGAGCGCUAUCAUGGUUCGAGCUGAGCAUGAUAAACUUGAUCUUUAUCCAAAACUCACAUAAUAUUCUAUUUAUCCUAUUAUUUCCUCCCUUUUCCUUAAUAAUUAUAAAAUUUUGUAUUUUUUACAAUUUUGUUCUUCCUUAGUUGACAAAAACAGAUUCUCAAUUUUUUGGAAAACCCCCAUGUGUAAUCUAAAAUCUUAGUUUGAAGCUAAAGUUUAUACGAUCAUUGUUAUCUAUAACUAUCAAUUUUCAUCCAGUAAUAGGAUAAAACUGUAUUUAUUGAUACAAACAUGCAUUUGGUAUUUUCAUACAUUUCACCUGUUCAGUAUUUUCAUACAUUUCACCUGUUCAGAUUACAUUUUGUAUUUUCAUACAUUUCACCUGUUCAGAUUACAUUUGAGCCGCACUCUGGGAACAAAUGGGCUUUAUACAUGUGUGUUAAGUUUCUUCCUAGAUUAGUCGGUGAGGUCCACACAGGCUAAUCAGGAACUGCACUUUCCGCUUUUAUGGUAUAUUUUGUUUCAACGAAGCCUUUAUUUAGUGUAAAUCCAGUAUAAGCGGAAAGUGUCGUCCCUGAUUAGCCGAUGCAGACUUCAAAGGCAAAUAAUGGAGGACAUUUAAGCACAUGGAUUACACCCUCUUUUUCCAGAUUGUUGCUCAAUUGGAUGUUUCAUUGAAUUCUGUCUUGCAACAUAAAUAAAUUUAGGCAAUUUUCCUGUUCAUUGAUAUAUAAAAAAAACGUAUUUCAUUCAUACAUGUUAAGUAGAAAAUGUAAUAUGUUAUGUUUAACUUGUUAUGCAAAAUUUGGUACAAUGUUAAUUAUGGUAUACCUAUGGUUACAAUUGGGAUGUUUGUAUGCAGCUUCUUAGGCUGCAUUUAUGUUAUUUAUUAUAUCCAUGUUGAUCUCAUGGCUUGUUUUCUCAAAUUAUAUACAUAUUGAUCCAAGUUGUAUAAACAAGUUAUUUUGACAAAAAAACAGCCUUUAAGGUAUAUACAUGCCCCUUAUAGUUACAUAUGCAUUACUAUUUGAUUUUAUCGCAUAUUGAUGAGUAUCAUGUAGUUCAACUAGUAAAACAUUCAAUGUCAAUGUCACAUUGUAGUUUUCCUCAUUUUAAAGUGUGCAUCUUGUUAUCAAAAUUGAAAUGUAGCAUGAGACUAUUCCAUACACCUGUGAUUGAAAUUUUUAUAAAAAUGUUACAGAUUG